UACAGAGGUCUCAAGCGUUGUUCGGAUUCAUUGGGCGUAAAGGGUGUGUAGGUGGCGCCGUAAGUCGGGUGUGAAAUUUCGGAGCUUAACUCCGAAACUGCAUUCGAUACUGCGGUGCUUGAGGACUGGAGAGGAGACUGGAAUUCGAUGGUGUAGCAGUGAAAUGCGUAGAGAUCAUGAGGAAGACCAGUGGCGAAGGCGGGGUCUCUGGACAGUUCCUGACACUGAGACACGAAGGCCAGGGGAGCAAACAGGG
rnacentral:rRNA from 1 species